rnacentral:rRNA from 1 species
UACGUAGGGUGCGAGCGUUAAUCGGAAUUACUGGGCGUAAAGCGCGCGCAGGCGGUUCGUUGUGUCGGUGGUGAAAGCCCCGGGCUUAACCUGGGGAUGGCCAUGGAAACUGGCGAACUGGAGUGUGGCAGAGGGGGGUGGAAUUCCGCGUGUAGCAGUGAAAUGCGUAGAGAUGGGGAGGAACACCGAUGGCGAAGGCAGCCCCCUGGGCUGGCACUGACGCUCAGGCACGAAAGCGUGGGGAGCAAACAGG